rnacentral:rRNA from 1 species
CAGGUCCCAAGGGUUUGGCUGUUCGCCAAUUAAAGCGGUACGUGAGCUGGGUUUAGAACGUCGUGAGACAGUUCGGUCCCUAUCUGCCGUGAUUGUAGGAGAAUUGAGAGGAGCUGCCCCUAGUACGAGAGGACCGGGGUGGACGUACCUCUGGUGGACCUGUUGUCGCGCCAGCGGCAUAGCAGGGUAGCUAUGUACGGACGGGAUAACCGCUGAAAGCAUCUAAGCGGGAAGCCUCCCUCGAAACUAGUUCUCCCAUGAGAGUCGUGGAAGACUACCACGUUGAUAGGCCAGGUGUGGAAGUAUGGUAACAUAUGAAGCUGACUGGUACUAAUAACUCGAUUGACUUGAUCUUUCUUAU